rnacentral:rRNA from 1 species
UACGUAGGUCCCGAGCGUUGUCCGGAUUUACUGGGUGUAAAGGGAGCGCAGGCGGCACGGCAAGCCUGAUGUGAAAGCCCGCGGCCCAACCGCGGGACUGCAUUGGGAACUACCGGGCUGGAGUGCCGGAGAGGUAGGCGGAAUUCCUAGUGUAGCGGUGAAAUGCGUAGAUAUUAGGAGGAACACCAGUGGCGAAGGCGGCCUACUGGACGGUGACUGACGCUGAGGCUCGAAAGCGUGGGGAGCAAACAGG